AAAGAUCGGCAGGCAAAGUAGGCUGCGAUCCGAAUGGAUUAAUUGCUUCCUGCACUUCGAUCGUUAGGAGGGGGAAAUGCGAUCUAGGGACUUCGUGAGGUCAAAACCGAAGGCUAAGAAUUAGGACAAUCUUACAUUUAAUCUGAGGAUUCUUGACUGUGACUCGUUCACUUUGAUCUGGAUUGUGGAAGAGGCAGGAGUAGUCCAUUUUAGUUCGCGUCGUGAGGUGAUUUCGAAGUUUCUAGCAAGGAUAGUGUCUUUCCCAUUAAACGUGCUAUCAGUAGAAAGUGUGCGAGUGUGGAGCGAAAUACAGAUUUGUGGCAAGUGUGCGAAAGCCCGUUACCUCACCAGUAUCAGCCAGCGACAACUCCUGACCCCACUCUGCAGCGUCAAAGUUUCCCGGCGGUCCACUUUGCCGGAAGGGGCCGCGACCGUCAAUUUCGCGCCCAGGCAGGGCGAAGGCAAAGAGUAAGCAAGUCAGCAGCAACAGCAACCGUUUUCCCGCUGUCGGUGACGACCGAGAGCGCAGCAGCAGCAAAGUCCACACAUCGUUGGCGAGGCGCCGUCGGCGCAUGAAGUAAUUCCGUAGCGUAGUAGAAGGAAGA